rnacentral:antisense_RNA from 1 species
UUUCGCGUUUGGCUUGUUAUCAACAAUGGCGUUGCCCACAGCGUGCAAUAGGUGAGUUUUACCUAGACCUGUACCGCCAUA